UGAACGCUGGCGGCGUGCCUACUACAUGCACGUCGAGCGAACAGACGAGGAGCUUGCUCCUCUGACGUUAGCGGCGGACGGGUGAGUAACACGUGGAUAACCUACCUAUAAGACUGGGAUAACUUCGGGAAACCGGAGCUAAUACCGGAUAAUAUAUUGAACCGCAUGGUUCAAUAGUGAAAGACGGUUUUGCUGUCACUUAUAGAUGGAUCCGCGCCGCAUUAGCUAGUUGGUAAGGUAACGGCUUACCAAGGCAACGAUGCGUAGCCGACCUGAGAGGGUGAUCGGCCACACUGGAACUGAGACACGGUCCAGACUCCUACGGGAGGCAGCAGUAGGGAAUCUUCCGCAAUGGGCGAAAGCUUGACGGAGCAACGCCGCGUGAGUGAUGAAGGUCUUCGGAUCGUAAAACUCUGUUAUUAGGGAAGAACAAAUGUGUAAGUAACUAUGCACGUCUUGACGGUACCUAAUCAGAAAGCCACGGCUAACUACGUG
rnacentral:rRNA from 1 species